rnacentral:rRNA from 1 species
UUAGAGUUUGAUCAUGGCUCAGGACGAACGCUGGCGGCGUGCUUAACACAUGCAAGUCGAACGAGACCCCGUCUUCGGGUGGGUGUUCUAGUGGCGAACGGGUGAGUAACACGUGGGCGACCUGCCCCCGGCUCUGGGAUAACUCCAAGAAAUUGGGGCUAAUACCGGAUAUGACCGCUGACCGCAUGGUCUGGUGGUGGAAAGUUUUUCGGCUGGGGAUGGGCCCGCGGCCUAUCAGCUUGUUGGUGGGGUAGUGGCCUACCAAGGCGACGACGGGUAGCCGGCCUGAGAGGGUGACCGGCCACACUGGGACUGAGACACGGCCCAGACUCCUACGGGAGGCAGCAGUGGGGAAUAUUGCGCAAUGGGCGGAAGCCUGACGCAGCGACGCCGCGUGGGGGAUGACGGCCUUCGGGUUGUAAACCUCUUUCAGCUCCGACGAAGCGGAAGUAACGGUAGGAGCAGAAGAAGCACCGGCCAACUACGUGCCAGCAGCCGCGGUAGCCC